UUCAGAUUUUCGGAAGGUAACUUGGCGC
rnacentral:piRNA from 1 species